rnacentral:ncRNA from 1 species
AAUCGACUCCGAGCCGUCAGGCCUAAGGCUCAGGGCUAUGGCCAGCGGCCGGGGCCACGCUGUCGUGGCCGAGGGUUCGCCGGGAAACCGGAGGGCCUCCCGCGUUCGGAAAGGAGUGUUUGA